ensembl:lncRNA DRAIC downregulated RNA in cancer, inhibitor of cell invasion and migration
UCACGCCAUUCUCCUGCCUCAGCCUCCCGAGUAGCUGGGACUACAGGCGCCCGCCACCACGCCCUGCUAAUUUUUUGUAUUUUUAGGAGAAACAGGGUUUCACCAUGUUAGCCAGGAUGGUCUUGAUCUCCUGACCUCGUGAUCUGCCCGCCUCGGCUUCUCAAAGUGCUGGGAUUAUAGGCGUGAGCCACCGAGCCCGGCCAGAACUACUACAAUUUUUUUAGGGUCAUUUGGUCCUCUCUCUCAAAAGUGCGCUUACCCUCUAUCCAGGAAUUUCAUUUGUAGGAACCUAUGCUAUGUACAAUUUCACUGAAGUAUUGCUUGUAUUAGAAAAAAAGUAUGGAUGAUAGGCAGGUUGAAUAAAUGUUAAUGUUUUCAUGUAGCUAUGUAUAGGAAUGCCGCUAUGGAAAGACAUCCAGGACACCUUGUUAAGUGAAAAAAGGUUCAGUAUCUGAACACUUUUGCUAAAGGUCUCUGGAAAGCUCCCUGUGUUAAUUCUCGAUGAGACUACGUCUGUGCCGGCCGCUUCCUGAGCCUCCUUCCAUGUGCAUAGGCCUGCUGCAUGCUGGAGACCUGCGGCACAGCUGCCAAGUGCCCCGUGUGGUUCUGUGAUCUUGGGACAGUCACUUCCUCUCUGUGGUUGUCAGUCUUCUCAUCCCUAAGAUGGAAUAAAAAGGCCUACCUCAUUGGGCUCGUGUGGGUGAGGAGAACUGAAGAGUCUGAGAGCGCGGCACGAGCCAGAGGCUACGGAAAACACUGCCCUCCUACACUCCACCUUGGAGAGACCCAGAAAAGAACAAGCUUCAUUUGUAAAAAAGGAAAACAACUCAGGCAAUGGGGGUGGCUUAAAGGCACUCUACAGUGUGCAGAUGCCUUCCACUUCUUCCAUCUGCCCUGUCUCUCCAAGAACCCCUAUGGCCCCGGUCUCAGAACAGAGCUGAGUGCAGAAAUGAAAAUCUAUGGCUCUGUGUUCCAAAACGAUGAAGAAUUUCAAGAUGGUGGCAGUGGUAAAAUCUUUCUCCAGGAAAAAUCUGUCCUUGGCCCAAUGUGUAAACACUUGCUGAGGAACUUGGAAUAACUUGCAGUGUCUUGCAGUAUUGUGAAACCAGCAACUUGUUCACAAUUCUUCUGAAUUUCUUGGGAAAUUUGAAGUGGAGUACCUGUACCAACAUGAAAUGACACGAAUUUAAGUGACGCUCAACAACGAAAAGCAAAAAGAACCAAAGAGGAAGCAACUGAAACAACAUCUGGAUGUAUUUAAAAAUAUACAAUGCCUCCAAAAUCAGGUGUCAUUAAUGAAAAUUCUGAAGAAAUGCCACCGGACAUAGCCAACGCACCUACGCUGUUGUUAUUCAUUUCCUGCUUUUCACAGAAAACAAUUUUGUUGCAUGGAAGAUCGUGAACUUCAAAGGGCAGAGGGGAAACUGUCCCUUGGCCUCUACCCCUCCAAGGCCCCACUUUUUUGUCAACACUCCUUGGACGCAGCAGAAGUAUGAACAUAAUAUGGUCCUGAAUGAGGCUGAGUCUUUGGGCGCAGAAGACCCGGGUUAAUAAAAAUAGGAAGGUAAGAAAAGAAAAGAAAAAUCAAGACACAUCAUAGGACUAAAUUCCUAUUAUUUAUCCACUCAGGAUUGACCACCCCUUUGGGCCAGAUAGUUGUACCCCCAUGUACCAGGUGGGCACAUGAAGACACAAGAAGUGCUGUGAUGGUUCAUUUUGCACGUCACCUUGCGUGGAGUAUGCCAACUCAUUGUUUGGUCAAACACUAGUCUGGACAUGGUGGUAAAGGUAUUUUUUAGAUGAGAUUAACACUUAAAUCAGUAAAGCAGGUUACCCACCAUACUACGGGUGGGCCCUGUCCAAUCAGUUGAAGGCAUUAAGAACAAAGAUUGAGGUUUCCUAAAGAAGAUGGAAUUCUCCUUGAGACUACAACAUAGAAACCCUAUCUGAGUUUCCAGCCUGUUGCCCUGUGGAAUUCAAACUCAGGACUCCGGUCUAUGACAUUAACCCUCACUUAACUUUUCAGCCUGCCAGCCUGCCCUAUGGAUUUCGGACUUGCCAGCCACACAAUUCCUUAAAAUAAAUCUCUCCGUCUCUGUCUGUUUCUCUCUGUCUAUAUACACACCUGCAUGCAUAUAUACAUAUAUAUAUGUAU